GCGAACGCUGGCGGCAGGCCUAACACAUGCAAGUCGAACGGAUCCUUCGGGAUUAGUGGCGGACGGGUGAGUAACACGUGGGAACGUGCCUUUUGGUUCGGAAUAGCUCCUGGAAACGGGUGGUAAUGCCGAAUGUGCCCUUCGGGGGAAAGAUUUAUCGCCAUUAGAGCGGCCCGCGUCUGAUUAGCUAGUUGGUGAGGUAAAGGCUCACCAAGGCUACGAUCAGUAGCUGGUCUGAGAGGAUGACCAGCCACAUUGGGACUGAGACACGGCCCAAACUCCUACGGGAGGCAGCAGUGGGGAAUCUUGCGCAAUGGGCGAAAGCCUGACGCAGCCAUGCCGCGUGAAUGAUGAAGGUCUUGGGAUUGUAAAAUUCUUUCACCGGGGACGAUAAUGACGGUACCCGGAGAAGAAGCCCCGGCUAACUCCG
rnacentral:rRNA from 1 species